AUUUGUAUAAUUUAUAUAAAAUAUAGUUUUUUCAUAACUAAAAUAGAACACAUUCUUACAAAUA
rnacentral:tRNA from 1 species